rfam:Picea glauca, whole genome shotgun sequence.
AUGUACAUUCCUAUACCAUAGUGUUAAUGAAAUUGAUCCCAUUAUAACUAUGCAGCUAAGCGCACUCAGGAUAGCGUAGUACUCGGAUGGGUGAUCAUCGGGGAAGUCCUGGUGUUUUACAUG